CGACCCCAAGUCAUCUGGCUUCAGGCUCUUACUGCCGUUGUCUCGGGGCUGGAGGAAGAACCUAGGAAGGAAGGAAGGACAUGGACCGGCAGCCUUGUCAUCUGCCAAGGUGGAGCCCUGUAUCCCAGAACCUGGCCAUGGAGCUAGCAGGGGGACCUACGUGGACACCCCUUUAUUGAAGUAGAAGUCAGUUUCCCGGCGACAGGAAUCUACUUUAGCACCCUCAGAGUAACACCUGGCAUGGGACACUGGACAGCAGGACACUGGACAGCGGGACACUGGACAGUGGGACACUGGACAAUGGGACACUGGACAGCAGGACACAGCAGGGCACUGACCAGAGGGACACUAGACAAUGGGACACUGGACAGCAGGACACUGACCAGAGAACAUUGGACAGCAGGACACUGGGCUCCAUGCUCUUCACGUCUUUAAGGAACCAAUCAUGGAGUAAAAUGAAGAUACAGCCCUGCUAAAGCCACAGAGUCUGGGGUAAACCAGAAAUCAAGGCAUAAGAAGCAGAGAGCAAGCUUUCCGAGCACCUGGGUGGGCUCCAAGACAGAGAAAGUCAGUGUCUGAAGAGCCUAUGAAGACCCACACACCCUGCAAACUGGCCCUGACCAGGGACCCAAGAUGAGCAGGAAAGCCACCCAGGGCCCAGCCAGCCACUAGACUGUGCUGACACGUUCUCCCAGAUGCCCAAAGCGGCUCUUAGCUAGAAAACUUGCUCUUAACUGGACCCUUCUUUGUUAUUAGGUUCCCAGCACCACUGCCUUACGGUCACUUCCCUCCACCUGCUCCGUGUUACCUACUGUAAGGUCAGAAGCCCAGGCAGCGAGCUGAGCGAAGUGAGAGCAGGUAGUGAGUGGUAGAUAACGGUGGGCUUAGCACAGUGGCUCUGCAGGUGGAAGCCGUGCUGUAUUCCCAGCACCAUACCUUGAGAUGUACACCUACCAGGCUUCGUAAGAGCUAGAAUGUCGCAGCACUCUGAGAGGGAUCCUCAGCUCCCCAAGAAACUCGUCCCCAAACUUCAGGUUGCUGGCAUUCCAGAGGUCAACUCUGAAAAAGAUGAGUAAGUGCCAUUCAGCUCUCACAAAGCAGCCCCACCUAGUGGGCAGGGGAUGCAGGGAGUCUGCUUCCCAGAGGGACAAGCAAUAAAGGCCUUCGGUUUUCAGAGUGGGUAAAUACUUGUACCAAGAGCAGGUAAACCAGGCUGCAUGGUGGAGCGGAGAUUUUGAUUCUCAGUGCAAUGGACAAGCAGUGCCUGUGUCUGGGAGCCAGCGGGGACGCCCAGUUCAGUCUGGUGGAGGGAACUCCUGGUGUCACUACUCAUGGCUGAGCCAACCAAAAAAGCUGCCCAUUCUUGGCCCAAGGGUCCCUUCACCUAAGAGUAAUCCAAGGGCCCUAAGCAGAUGUUAGAGAUGUACUAAGGCCCCCAGAAGCCUUGGCUCUGCCCCAGAUGUACCAUGCUUUUAUCUUUAAGCCCAGCAUAACGAACAGUAGAAGUGUCAUAAGGCUGAGAAGCUGUCCACAAGACAAAAUCACAACCCAGGGCAGAUGGGUAUAGCCCAUUAUGGCUAUACCUGGGAGGGGCACUGGACACCUGAGAGCGUUGCUCCUGAAACUUAAGAGCCCUGCCUCUGUCUCCAUCAAACGCUAGACUGUGGUGUGAACCAUGAUCAAGGGAUACUGUGUACGCACCGGAGGGCCUGCAGUUGGGUCCCAAGGAGCUACGGCCACAACACAGUCUGCAGCCAAGCAGUGUCCAGUGCUUCUGGGGCAGAUGAGCCACUCAACGAUGCCCCUUCCCCCAAGAGAAUACUCAUUUUCCCCUCACAUUAGGGGCCAAAAAGCUGCACCAGGAUAACAGUGGGCUGGGCCCAUGGUACCUGUCCUCACUACUCGGCAGGGUUCAUGGCCAGAGAGCUGCAAACCUCAUACAGGUCUACCAUGCCUUGAGUAUUAGGGCAUUGCUAUGGAAGAGACAUCUUAGAAGACUGGGCUGAUCUUUCUGUCAUCUCUGCCAGUCCUAUAGCGCACACGCAUGUGACCAAGAGGGAAGCCGCGUCACUGAGAACAUAUGUAUGUGGGAACCAGGAGGGCUGUCGGUGUCUCCCAGCCCAGGGCUGAAGGCUCCUGCUGGUAAGCUUGAUCAGUUGAUGGCCAGCAUGCUCCCCAAACAACUUAGAUGGAUUUCGGAAUCUACAGGGGGAGGAUGCGGUGCCUACGAACCUUUACAGAAGACUUGGUUUCUAUAGCAACAGAGCAGGAAGACCCAUGCAGGAUCCACACAAAAAGAACCAGUAGCAUCAGAGGAGAUGGGCUCUACAGGAGUUGCCAAAGUCUCAGGGACCCAUGAGACGGCUUAGAAAAUAUCCUGGAGGAAGAGAUCUGUCGGAUGCCCACAGGCUUUCCCACUGAGCAAUAUCAAUGAGAAGGAAAACCCCAUGGUUUCUAAAACUGAUCCUAGACCUUUGAGGGUAAUAAGCAAUGACAUCCCCAAACAGUUGUGGUUUUGUUGUGCCAGGGCUACCUUAAUAGUUUGGGGGAUGGAACCUGUCUAAGUGAUAUAUCUCCUAACCUUUGUUAUCAACCUUCGGGAGCAACUCACCGAAUUUCAAGUUUGUCUACAUCUUCCUCCUCAAAGUCAAAGUGGGAUUUUUUGCUGUAGCUGCAGGGUCUGGUCACCU